rnacentral:tRNA from 1 species
GUCGCCAUCGUCUAGCGGUCCAGGACGUCGGGUUCUCAUCCCGAAAAUCGCGAGUUCGAUUCUCGCUGGCGACACCA